GUAGGGAAUAUUGCACAAUGGGCGAAAGCCUGAUGCAGCAACGCCGCGUGCGCGAAGAAGGCCUUCGGGUUGUAAAGCGCUUUUCGGGGAGAUGAGAAAGGACAGUAUCCCCGGAAUAAGGCUCGGCUAACUACGUGCCAGCAGCCGCGGUAAAACGUAGGAGCCUAGCGUUAUCCGAAUUCACUGGGCGUAAAGCGCGUGCAGGCGGCUUGGUAAGUUGGAUGUGAAAUCUCUCGGCUCAACUGGGAGAGGACGUUCAAUACUGCCAGGCUAGAGGGCGGAAGAGGGAGGUGGAAUUCCCGGUGUAGUGGUGAAAUGCGUAGAUAUCGGGAGGAACACCAGUGGCGAAGGCGGCCUCCUAGGCCGCUCCUGACGCUCAGACGCGAAAGCUAGGGGAGCGAACGGGAUUAGAAACCCCAGUAGUCC
rnacentral:rRNA from 1 species